UUGGUUUUGGGUAUUGCCAAGGCAUACUUCAAGGAAGAAGCAACAGCCCCACCAUCAGCACCCAAAGCUGAAAUUCUUUUUAAACUAUUCCUUGCAAUACCAGAAAUCGACCCCACAACUUUCAUAAUUCAUAUAUUGCAUACUUUCAUACUG